UACGUAGGGUCCGAGCGUUGUCCGGAAUUACUGGGCGUAAAGGGCGCGUAGGCGGUCCUGAUCGUCGGAUGUGAAAGGCCUGGGCUCAACCUGGGAAUGGCAUCCGAUACGGCGGGACUGGAGUGUGGGAGAGGUUGGUGGAAUUCCCAGUGUAGAGGUGAAAUUCGUAGAUAUUGGGAAGAACACCGGUGGCGAAGGCGGCCAACUGGACCACAACUGACGCUGAGGCGCGAAAGCGUGGGGAGCAAACAGG
rnacentral:rRNA from 1 species